rnacentral:rRNA from 1 species
GAUGAACGCUGGCGGCGUGCCUAAUACAUGCAAGUCGAGCGAACAGAUGAGGAGCUUGCUCCUCUGACGUUAGCGGCGGACGGGUGAGUAACACGUGGAUAACCUACCUAUAAGACUGGGAUAACUUCGGGAAACCGGAGCUAAUACCGGAUAAUAUAUUGAACCGCAUGGUUCAAUAGUUAAAGACGGUUUUGCUGUCACUUAUAGAUGUAUCCGCGCCGCAUUAGCUAGUUGGUAAGGUAACGGCUUACCAAGGCAACGAUGCGUAGCCGACCUGAGAGGGUGAUCGGCCACACUGGAACUGAGACACGGUCCAGACUCCUACGGGAGGCAGCAGUAGGGAAUCUUACGCAAUGGGCGAAAGCCUGACGGAGCAACGCCGCGUGAGUGAUGAAGGUCUUCGGAUCGUAAAACUCUGCUAUUAGGGAAGAACAAAUGUGUAAGUAACUAUGCACGUCUUGACGGUACCUAAUCAGAAAGCCACGGCUAACUACGUG